CGUAGGUGACCUGCGGAAGGAUCAUUAUUGAAAUAAACCUGAUGGGUUGUUGCUGGCUCUCUAGGGAGCAUGUGCACGCCUUGUCAUCUUUAUAUCUCCACCUGUGCACCUUUUGUAGACCUUUCGGGGUCUAUGUUGCUUCAUUUUUCCACAAUGUAUGUUAAUAGAAUGUUGUGCCCUGUAUAAUAUAUACAACUUUCAGCAACGGAUCUCUUGGCUCUCGCAUCGAUGAAGAACGCAGCGAAAUGCGAUAAGUAAUGUGAAUUGCAGAAUUCAGUGAAUCAUCGAAUCUUUGAACGCACCUUGCGCUCCUUGGUAUUCCGAGGAGCAUGCCUGUUUGAGUGUCAUUAAUAUACAUAUAUCAAGCCUUCUCUUGUAGAAGGGUUUGGAUGUGGGGGUUUGCUGGCCUCUUAAUCUUAAGAGUUCAGCUCUCCUGAAAUGCAUUAGCAGAACAACCUUAUGUUCAUUGGUGUGAUAACUAUCUACGCUAUUGAAUGUUGAGGGGGAAGUUCAGCUUUCUAACGGUCCCUUGGACAACUCAUCAUUAAUGUGACCUCAAAUCAGGUAGGACUACCCGCUGAACUUAAGCAUAUCAAUAAGCGGAGGAAAAGAAACUAACAAGGAUUCCCCUAGUAACUGCGAGUGAAGCGGGAAAAGCUCAAAUUUAAAAUCUGGCGGUUUUUUUGGCCGUCCGAGU
rnacentral:rRNA from 1 species